rnacentral:rRNA from 1 species
UAACGACUCUCGGCAACGGAUAUCUCGGCUCUCGCAUCGAUGAAGAACGUAGCGAAAUGCGAUACUUGGUGUGAAUUGCAGAAUCCCGUGAACCAUCGAGUCUUUSAACGCAAGUUGCGCCYGAAGCCGUUAGGNWGAGGGCACGCCUNCCUGGGCGUCACGC